AUUGCAAUAACAGGUCUGUGAUGCCCUUAGUUAUCCUAGGUCGCACGCGCCAUACAAUGUGGCAGCACAACGAGUUUCCUAGGCCGAUAGGAUCUAAGAGACACUGGGCAAUUUGANAGAGCGCUACGUGACUGGGCUAGACUUUUGUAAUUGUUGGUCUUGAACGAGGAAUGCCUAGUAAUCGUAGGUNAUUAUCCUGCGAUGAUUAUGUCCCUGCCCUUUGUACACACCGUCCGUCGCUCCUGCCGUGGCUCGUGCCGGUGAAGAGGGGGAGGCAGCGUCAACGGAGUAACAUCUGAUUGUACGUGGAACCCCUCUGAACCUUCGCGAGUAGAGGAAGGAGAAGUCGUAACAAGGUUUUCGUAGGUGAACCUGCGAAAGGAUCAUUA
rnacentral:rRNA from 1 species